rnacentral:lncRNA from 1 species
CAGCAUGCUGUUAAAGUCAGCCUGGAUUCAAGGGAAAAGGAACUGAUGCUAUCUCAACAGAAGGAGUAACAGCUUGUAGCCAUCUCACAUCUACUGCAGUUACUACUCUCAGUAUUGGCUUUAUUUUUGUAUAUUUAGAGCAACGACUCAGGAGUCAGUGUUAAAUCGAAUGCUCCGAAAAUCAUAGUAAUUCAAGAGUUGAGAGAAG